CCUACGGGAGGCAGCAGUAAGGAAUAUUGGUCAAUGGACGCAAGUCUGAUCCAGCCAUGCCGCGUGCAGGAAGACGGCCUUAUGGGUUGUAAACUGCUUUUAUCAGGGAAUAAACCGUUGUUUGCGAACAAGGCUGAAGGUACCUUAAGAAUAAGCAUCGGCUAACUCCGUGCCAGCAGCCGCGGUAAUACGGAGGAUGCAAGCGUUAUCCGGAUUUAUUGGGUUUAAAGGGUGCGUAGGCGGGCUAAUAAGUCAGGGGUGAAAUACUUCGGCUCAACCGUAAAACUGCCUUUGAUACUGUUAGUCUUGAGUUUAAUUGAAGUGGGCGGAAUGUAUCAUGUAGCGGUGAAAUGCAUAGAGAUCAUACAGAACACCGAUUGCGAAGGCAGCUCACUAAGCUACAACUGACGCUGAUGCACGAAAGC
rnacentral:rRNA from 1 species